UACGGAGGGAGCUAGCGUUGUUCGGAAUUACUGGGCGUAAAGCACACGUAGGCGGCUUUGUAAGUUAGAGGUGAAAGCCUGGAGCUCAACUCCAGAACUGCCUUUAAAACUGCAUCGCUUGAAUCCAGGAGAGGUGAGUGGAAUUCCGAGUGUAGAGGUGAAAUUCGUAGAUAUUCGGAAGAACACCAGUGGCGAAGGCGGCUCACUGGACUGGUAUUGACGCUGAGG
rnacentral:rRNA from 1 species